rnacentral:snoRNA from 1 species
AAGACCGUACUUAUACAGGAUCAUUUCUAUAGUACCUUCUUUUCUACUUGACUGAAGACCAAGUAAAGAGGACACUGAUGAGAACGUCGCAAAAAUGCAAGUGU